GUCGGGUGUGGUGGCGCACACCUGUAAUCCCAGCUACUUGGAGGCUGAGGCAGGAGAAUUGCUUGAACUCGGGAGGCGGAGGCUGCAGUGAGCCGAGAUCACGCCACUGUACUCUAGCCUGGGUGACAGAGCGAGACUCCCUCUCAC
ensembl:misc_RNA Metazoa_SRP Metazoan signal recognition particle RNA